UGCAGUCGAACGGGAACUUUUUUGGUAGCAUACUAGAAAAGUUCUAGUGGCGAACGGGUGCGUAACACGUGGGCAAUCUGCCGAAAAGUGGGGGAUAGCUCGCCGAAAGGCGAAUUAAUACCGCAUGUGGUGAGGGACGACAUCUUCCUGAAUCCAAAGCCGGGGCAACCUGGCGCUUUUUGUGGAGCCCGCGGCCUAUCAGCUUGUUGGUGAGGUAACGGCCCACCAAGGCUAUGACGGGUAGCUUGGUCUGAGAGGGACGACCAGUCACACUGGAACUGAGACACGGUCCAGACACCUACGGGUGGCAGCAGUCGAGAAUUUUUCUCAAUGGGGGCAACCCUGAAGGAGCGACGCCGCGUGGAGGAUGA
rnacentral:rRNA from 1 species